rnacentral:rRNA from 1 species
ACUCCUACGGGAGGCAGCAGUGGGGAAUAUUGCACAAUGGGCGAAAGCCUGAUCCAGCCAUGCCGCGUGUGUGAAGAAGGUCUUCGGAUUGUAAAGCACUUUAAGUUGGGAGGAAGGGCAGUUACCUAAUACGUGAUUGUUUUGACGUUACCGACAGAAUAAGCACCGGCUAACUCUGUGCCAGCAGCCGCGGUAAUACAGAGGGUGCAAGCGUUAAUCGGAAUUACUGGGCGUAAAGCGCGCGUAGGUGGUUAGUUAAGUUGGAUGUGAAAUCCCCCGGGCUCAACCUGGGAACUGCAUUCAAAACUGACUGACUAGAGUAUGGUAGAGGGUGGUGGAAUUUCCUGUGUAGCGGUGAAAUGCGUAGAUAUAGGAAGGAACACCAGUGGCGAAGGCGACCACCUGGACUGAUACUGACACUGAGGUGCGAAAGCGUGGGAGCAAACAGGAUUAGAUACCCCUGGUAGCGACUGA